rnacentral:rRNA from 1 species
GACGAAAGCUUAGGCUUUAGUAGCGGACGGGUGAGUAAUACGUAAGAAUCUACCUUUAGGAAGGGGAUAACAAUUGGAAACGAUUGCUAAUACCCUAUAUGCUUUAUUAGUGAAAAGAUUUAUCUGCCUAGAGAUGAGCUUACGCCUGAUUAGCUAGUUGGUAAGGUAAAAGCUUACCAAGGCUACGAUCAGUAGCUGGUUUGAGAGGAUGAUCAGCCACACUGGAACUGAGACACGGUCCAGACUUCUACGGAAGGCAGCAGUGGGGAAUUUUCCGCAAUGGGCGCAAGCCUGACGGAGCAAUACCGCGUGAGGGAUGAAUGCCUGUGGGUUGUAAACCUCUUUUCUUAGAGAAGAAAUAUUGACGGUAUCUAAGGAAUAAGCAUCGGCUAACUCCGUGCCAGCAGCCGCGGUAAUACGGGGGAUGCAAGCGUUAUCCGGAAUUACUGGGCGUAAAGAGUCUGUAGGUGGUUUAGUAAGUCUGCUGUUAAAUAUUGGGGCUCAACCCUAAAAGAGGAGUAGAAACUACUAUACUAGAGUAUGGUAUGGGUAAAGGGAAUUCCCAGUGUAGCGGUGAAAUGCGUAGAUAUUGGGAAGAACACCAGCAGCGAAAGCGCUUUACUAGGCCAUUACUGACACUCAGAGACGAAAGCUAGGGGAGCGAAUGGGAUUAGAUACCCCAGUAGUCCUAGCCGUAAACAAUGGAUACUAGAUGUUGCGUGUAUCGAUCCAUGCAGUAUCGUAGCUAACGCGUUAAGUAUCCCGCCUGGGAAGUAUGCUCGCAAGAGUGAAACUCA